AGGGCGCAUGGAGGAUGCCUAGGCUCUCGGAGGCGAAGAAGGACGUGAUAAGCUGCGAAAAGUUACGGUAAGGCGCAAAUAGCCCUAGACCCGUAAAUAUCCGAAUGGGGCAACCCGGCCAGCAAUGGCCAUACCGCCAAGCGGUAAGCCAACGCGGGGAACUGAAACAUCUAAGUACCCGCAGGAAAAGAAAAUAACAAUGAUUCCGCCAGUAGUGGCGAGCGAACGCGGAACAGCCCAAACCACUCGUGUUACGGCACGAGUGGGGUAGAAGGAUCCACGAUACGGCAAGAAAUAAGUUAGCAGAAUACGAUGGAAAUCGUAGCCAAAGACGGUGACAGCCCGGUACGCGAAAACCGACAGAAGCCCAGUGGACACCUGAGUAACCCAGGACACGAGAAAUCCGGGGCGAAUCAGCGGGGCCCAUCCCGUAAGGCUAAAUACUCCCGAGAGACCGAUAGCGAACCAGUACUGUGAAGGAAAGGUGAAAAGAACCUCGAACAGAGGAGUGAAACAGACCCUGAAACCAUGCGCCUACAAGCGGUCGGAGCAUGUUAAAAUGUGACGGCGUGCCUUUUGCAUAAUGAACCUACGAGUUACUCUCGCUGGCAAGGUUAAGCGAUUCAGUCGCGCAGCCGAAGCGAAAGCAAGUCCGAAUAAGGCGUACAGUCAGCGGGAGUAGACGCGAAACCAAGUGAUCUACCCUUGGUCAGGUUGAAGGUUGGGUAACACCAACUGGAGGACCGCACCGAUAAGCGUUGAAAAGCUUACGGAUGAACUGAGGGUAGGAGUGAAAGGCCAAUCAAACUUGGAGAUAGCUCGUACUCCCCGAAAUGCAUUUAGGUGCAGCCUCGAAGCAGAGUGAUAGAGGUAGAGCGACUGAUAAGAUGCGAGGGCUUCACCGCCUAUCAAGUCUUGACAAACUCCGAAUACUAUCACUUGAUCUUUGGGAGUGAGGGCAUGGGUGCUAAGGUCCAUGUCCGAAAGAGGAACAACUCAGACCACCAGCUAAGGUCCCGAAAUAAGGGCUAAGUUGAAUAAACGAAGUAAAACUGCAAAGACAGCUAGGAUGUUGGCUUGGAAGCAGCCAUUCAUUUAAAGAGUGCGUAACAGCUCACUAGUCGAGGAGUUUUGCAUGGAUAAUAAUCGGGCAUAAGCCCUUUACCGAAGCUGUGGAUGUCGCAAGACAUGGUAGGGGAGCAUUCCGGCGGCGACGAAGGCCGUCCUCGAGGACGACUGGAGCUUUCGGAAAAGCAAAUGUAGGUAUAAGUAACGAUAAAGGGGGCGCGAAACCCCCUCGCCAUAAGACUAAGGUUUCCUGAUCAACGCUAAUCGGAUCAGGGUAAGUCGGGCCCUAAGGCGCAGCCGAACGGCGUAGCCGAUGGAAGAAACGGUAAAGAUUCCGUUACUGGAUAUAGGAGCGAUGUGGAGACGGAGAAGUGACACACCCGCCUGCCGACGGAAGCGCAGGUUAAAGGAAGUAGGUAAACGCCGGGUAGGCAAAUCCGCCUGGCGUGCCGAAACUGACAGUAUCGAGAGCCCCCGGGCAAUCGAAUAGCGGUGGUAAUCAGGCUCCCAAGAAAAUCCGCUAAGCAUAUUCUAUAUUCACCCGUACCCCAAACGGACACACGUAGUCGGGUAGAAUAUACCAAGGCGCUCGAAAGACUCACGGUUAAGGAACUAGGCAAAUUGACCCUGUAACCUCGGGAAAAAGGGUCCCCAGUAAGAUGGGGCGCAGAGAAUAGGUCCAGGCAACUGUUUAACAAAAACACAGGGCUGUGCAAAAUUUGAAGAUGAAGUAUACAGCCUGACACCUGCCCGGUGCCGGAAGGUUAAGAGGAGAGCUAAUCGCAAGAGAAGGCUUGAAUUGAAGCCCCGGUAAACGGCGGCCGUAACUAUAACGGUCCUAAGGUAGCGAAAUUCCUUGUCGGGUAAGUUCCGACCUGCACGAAUGGUGUAAUGAUCUGGACACUGUCUCAACCGUGACUUCGGUGAAAUUGUAGUAUCGGUGAAGAUGCCGAUUACCCGCAACGGGACGAAAAGACCCCGUGAACCUUUACUGCAACUUAGCAUUGCGUUUGGGCAUUUGAUGUGUAGGAUAGUCCGGAGGCUACGAGCCGGCGACGCCAGUCGUCGGGGAGCCGCUGUUGAAAUACGGACCUUCGAAUGUUUGAGCGCUAACUCGCUGUAGCGAGGACACUGUUUGGUGGGUAGUUUGACUGGGG
rnacentral:rRNA from 1 species